rnacentral:lncRNA from 1 species
AGAGAAGAGAAGAAGACCAAGGACUGAGCACUGGGAGACUCCAAUGGGGAGAAGGGGAGGAACAAGCAAAAAGAUGGAGAAAAAGCUACCACCAGUGACCUAGGAGAACCAGGGGGCUGGCAUCCUGCAGCCACAUGCACAUGGAAGAUCACUUUGAUUGCCAUGUGGAGAGUGAACUGUGGGAGGACCCCAGUGGAGGCAGGAAGACUAAACCAGAAGACAGUCACAGUAGUCCAGAUAAGAGAUGCAUAUGUUAUCAAUCGCCAUGUGAAGAAGAUGCUUGCUUCCCCUUUGCCUUCUGCCAUGAUUGUGAGUUUCGCGAGGCCUCCACAGCCAUGCUUCCUGUACUGCAGAACUGUCUUCGAUUAGAUAUUACUUCUUCUGAACAAUCUUCCUUGAUGACCCAGCUACUUUACAUCUCUGGAUGGAAUCCUCCUCUUUGCUCUAAUGGCAUGGUGUGCAGAAGUCAGCUGUGAAAAGGAGGAAUGAAAGCAAGUGAAGGAUGCCCUUCAUAAGGAACAAGCGAUCUCUCUAAAACCAAUCCUAGAGUAUGGCUUCAGAUUCUGCUCCCAUUUCUCAAUGAUUAUGAGUUUUGUGCCACAUCUUCUCCCCCUUUAUCCCUACAAUAUUUGCAUUUCAUGUUUUUAUUCUCUUACUGCCUGAGCAAUUUGAAACUCUCAUAUUUAGGCAAUUCCCAGAUCUCGUUCUUAAAGCAUUGUGAUUCCCUUUCAGCUUUUCAGAGGCACGUGUGCUGGGGAAGGCACUGAGUCCUCCCUGUCAAUCCAAUUUGUGAUAAGGAUUUCCCCAGGUGCACCCAUUCCAUAGUCCCUGUGUUGCUCUGAGCCUGGUUGGCAUCCUUUUGGGAAGCAUUUGUAUUGCUUUUUCAUCUCAGAAAAGAUACUCUAGUCACAAACCAGUCAUCUGCCUGUUAAGCUGUAUUUAGAACAAAUCACUCCGAAGCAAAACAACGAUGACAACAACAAAAGAGCCACACUUAUUUCUUUCUAGACUUUUAACAAAAUGUUUGAUGUUGUGGAGAUUUCCAAACAAUUAAUGUGAAAUUGGGUACUGUUGUUCACAUGAUUUAUUUACCAUAUAUAGAGAAUUCAGCUGGAGUGCUACUGUCAAUGAUGCUCCCAAUGAAAUUUCAGCAGAGAGUUGGAAAAUCAGCAAAUUGUUUAUUUCCAAAGAGGAAUUACAUUUUCAAAGGAUAAAAGUUAAUAGGAGUCAUAGUGCUCAAAAACCACACGAUAUAGGAAAACCUACCCCACUCCACCAAAGGGCACAUCUUGCUUUGAACACUUGAUUUCAUAUUAACAGUUCAUGAGUUAUUCAAAGCAGGGGAAUCUCCUGCAGGUUGGGAAAUAUCCUAGUGCUUUUCAUAGCCUUCCAUGUCAUGGAUCAGGGACACACACUUGUGCACAUGUGUGCACAGACACAAAACAGAGAGAAUGCUUAACAGGAGCACAUUUUACAAAAGUGAGAUCCCAGGCCUGGAAAAUCCCAAACUCUUAUAAAUUUUACAAAUCCAAAAUGGAAUAUUCAAAAAGAACUCAACCUGUUUCUCUUGAGUAACUUUUCAGACUCUCAUUACAGGCCCCAUGAGGUCAGUCAGAUUUCUGUUCUACAGGAUACUGCAAAAAGAGACCAGAAAUUUAAAAAGGAGUGAUGGUACCACACAAAAUAGUAAAAAUGAAAUAGAGAAGGUGUGAAGUUAGAUCCUUGAUUUAUGUGUGGAAAGCUAGUGCCAAGAAUAUUGUUAUGGGCCUGGCUCCUAGAGGCAAGAUUUGUUAGCAAAAACUGUCUCUAAAUAUUUAUGCUCAGCUAAAUAAUUGCUAAAUAAUUCCGGAUCCCAGCUGGAAAUCUAGGAUCAGGACUAGCCUAAAUUAGUAGAUCUAUGUGAUAGUAUAUUGGUAUUUUAUCCAGAAAGUACUUGCUCAAUGAUAGGUUCAACUUCAGCAUAUAAUUCAUAUACUUUUAUAAAAGCCUUUUCAUGGCAUUACAUAGAAGGCCUUUCCUUGGAAAUAUUUCCAUAAAAUAAACAAAGCACUUAAAUCAGUCCAUUCAAUAGCAUUUGUUUUAGGAUUAUUAAAGAAAUACAGAGUUUUGACUUCCGCAGUGUGCUAACAUGGAUUAUUCUUUCAUUUGCUGAUCCUUGUAUGUGCAGUAGGAUGUUGAAAGUGGGGGUGGUGGCAGCAUAUUUCUACAUCACCUUGGACUUUACCUUUCUGAGAAUCAACAUAGGUUUCUAACUUUUUUUAUGGCCCUGACUGGUGCUUCAGUAAACCCACGAAUAAAAGCAGUACUCCAAUCUGCAGAGACUCUAGAAGAAAAUACUUUCUAUGAACCAAAAAA